CUCCCCCAGCAUCUGCUGGUUUUGCUGUAUCACUCAUUAUUUGUUCCUUACAUGACUUAUUGCAUUAAAGUUUGGGGAAAUACAUAUAAAACAAAUACUAAUACAUUAUUUCUGUUACAAAAAAAGCUAUAAGACAUAAGACACAAGCC